UAAUUUAUCAUGUUCAUCCUAAAUUGGGACUAACAAAAAUUAUUAUUUAAUUGAGAUUAUCAAUUUAUCGAGUAUAAAUUAACAAGGUGCUACUAUACUUUAUAUUGAUGAAGUUAUUCUUCUGUCUCAAUUGCAAAAUUAGUCGACUCUAUUAUUGCAAGAAGCAUAGUUUAUCCAAAUAGAAUUGACCAUAAAUUGACCAAUAAAUAUGCAAAUUCUCCUUUGGUGUCAUUUAGUGUCACUUAAAAAGACAAAAGUGCCCUUAAUCUAAAAAUAAAUUCUAACAAUUUGUUCUCACUUUCCUCCACCCUCUCCUCUCCUUUCCUCCAUAUUUAUUGAUUUUUAAAAUUCACAAACUAAAAGCAUCAUAAAAUGGCAGCUGCUAGGUUACAUAUACUGUAACUUAAGGUUGACCGAAAAAUAGUUUCUCACUAUCUCCUACUUAUUUGACAAGCAACGCGAGUCUUUCAAAGUUCCGUUGCAUCUUAUCCAAGGACAAUGAGUAAGAGCAUCAAUUCUCAAAAUAUCUUUAAUUGUUGUUCUUAAAAAAUUAAGCUUCCACUCACAAACCAUGAAUGAAAGCAAUUGUUGUUCUUAAUAGGAUGGAAGCCAAAAAAUUAAGCCCCUCUGGGCAUUUGGCUCCAUAGGAGUAACUUUAAACACCUAAAUAAUUACCACAACAGUUACUUAUUAUCAUGGUCAGUCAUCCAAUCAGUAUGUGUUUUGAGUAAUUAUCUAAUCAUCAUAGAAAGUUACAAUUAUGUCACAGAACCUAAAUAUAUUUUACAACAAUUAUUUAGACAUUAUAUGCCACGUCGAUUGAAACUCCAAUGUCAAAUCAGCUUCCAGUGAUAUAGGCGUAUCCAGUUACCCUGUCAGUACACCUUAACUAUCUGCCAUAUUUCUUAUGGAAACCAAAAUUUAUAACCAAAAUCCUACAAGCCGAGCAAUUGAAUGAAUAAUUGACUAAAAAGUAUUAAUUAAUUCUUUUAAUGGAUUUGCUAUCUUUCACGGUAGGCAUCUGAUAUUGCAACUCAUGGUAGUUGCUUUGCGCUUCUAUUUUAUGCCAUCUGCGCACAAAAACAAUUUUUCUUAGACUUAGUAUAUAACUUAGGUUUUGGUGAAUGAGGAUGUUGGGGUUAGGAGAAUAUCAAGUCUCUAAUUGUUUUAGUUUCAUUUCAUGGAUGGUUAACUUGAUUAGUGAGAUUUGAUUUAUUACGUAUAUGUGAUUGGACUGGAUUCACAAUCAGAGAAUUAAGAAGAAAUUAUCUAUGUUUGAUGAUGGAGAUAGAGAGACAAAGUGAGAGGGAACAGAGCAGAAGAAAGAGUGGAAAACACUCGAUUUUACUCGACAUGCUGGGCCGGCGUCCCACUAAAGCCAUUUAAGUAAAAGCCGUCGAUUGGAUUGGUAUUAAUCUAACGGCUGAUUUAGGUACAAGACAAAAAUAUGGGGUUAGUUGCCCUUGGGCAAAGUAGCUGAAACCUUAUAUUAAUAGAUUUUUUUAGGGAGAUUUUCAAUUUCUCUCUACUGUAAUUAAUGUAUACUAUUUAUUUUUUUACUGUUUUUAUAAUAGUUAAUAAUCUCUUGAUAGCAUAACUUUAUAAUAUCACCCCUAUUUUCAAAUAUACUUUU
rnacentral:lncRNA from 1 species